GGUGCCUAUGGAGCUGCUGCGCUUAUGGAGGCCGGAGGAGUGGCUUUCACGUGUACCAGCAGGUUAUCUGUGGCCGCAGAGGUCACACUACUGGUCGGUGCCGUGUUGGUUCCUCUAGGGGUCAAGGCAGCAGGCAGAGUACUCUGGUGUCGGCCCAGAUAUGGAAAGCUGUGAAAGCCUGUUUGCAGACGAAAAGAGAGGUCCCAAUAUGUGUCCCAAGAGACUAGGGGUCUCGCCCAUCUUCCCCAUUAUCCCCUGUGUACUUAGACCUGUGUUUUCUGUUUGUCUGUUGCCAGUUUGUCUUGUUUAUCAAGCUUACCAGUGUUUGUCCUGUCAGCUCCUGUCUUUUCCUAGCCUCUCUUUUUCUCGCCCUCCUGGUAUUUGACCCCUGCCUGUCCUGACCCUGAACUCGCCCGCCUAUCCACUCUGCCUGAUCCUGGCCCUGAGCCUGCCUGCCGUCCUGUACCUUUACCUCUGUUGCUGUAAUAAACAUUGUUACUUCAACAAGGUCUGCAUCUGGCUCUUAGCUUAUCUUGAUGUAUAAAUCUAUUACAGUUGGCCAACCCUGCUGGAGGUCUGCUGGGUGUGCAGGGUUCUAUUUCAGCCCAGCAAUACUUGAUAAUCUAGUACACUAUUGAUUGGCUGGAAUAGAAUUCAGACUAGAUUUUUUUUUGUUAACCUGAAAUGACUACUUGUUUCUACUCAAUAAUUGAUUGUUGUUUAGACUAAGAUGCUUAAUCUUUACGAGUUAGCUUAUUUGUACAUUUUUAAGUAAUUAAGUGUUGAUUAUUUGAAGUGAAGUGUUUAAACUUGUUUUAAUUCUUACUGUUAUUCAAAAUGAACUAGUAUGAAUGUUGAUUACUCACAUAUCACAAUCCUGCAAUAAAGAGGGGAAGGGGUUUGUUCUCUGUGCUGUAUUCCCAA